rnacentral:rRNA from 1 species
UACGAAGGGGGCUAGCGUUGUUCGGAAUUACUGGGCGUAAAGGGCGCGUAGGCGGCCGCCUAAGUCAGACGUGAAAUCCCUCGGCUCAACCGGGGAACUGCGUCUGAUACUGGGUGGCUUGAAUUCGGGAGAGGGAUGCGGAAUUCCAGGUGUAGCGGUGAAAUGCGUAGAUAUCUGGAGGAACACCGGUGGCGAAAGCGGCUCACUGGACCGUGUCUGACGCUGAGGUGCGAAAGCUAGGGUAGCGAACGGGA